AUAAUGUUAUCGAACUUUUAUUAUAUUUGUUUUGUUAAAAUACUACGUAUGGUUAUAAAAACAUAGUAAGUAUAAAUAUAUGUAUAUUUCUCAGAAAUCCUUUAAAAAACAGGUAACUUUUCAUGCAUUAUUAUUUUUAAACAUUUUAAUUAUAUGCCAAAUAAAUACAUUUUUAACCAACCUUAGCUUCAAUAACAUAUACACUAAAAAAUUUGUAUAUAAAACAUUUUGCCAUCUGACUUCAAAUUAGCAGGUCUGAACUGAGGAUAAUAUUAAAAUUGACAUUCCAGUUAAUCCAGGAAACAGAGGAGGCCUUAGGUAUUGCAUCAGGAGUUAGGAGAGUCAGAGUUAUAACAAAGAAGAUCGUGUGGCUCCUUUGAAGAAAAAGUGAGAAUAAGCAGCAAGAUUAAAGCCAUAAAAAACUAGAAUAAUGAUUGACUCAAUUUUGAUGAACUGAAAAGGCUAUGGAUAACAAGAGUUCCAGAACUUCCUUUUCUAUGAAGUCCUGUGCCUGCUCAUUGAAAAACAAUGAAUCAGUCUAGACUUGCAAGACGAAAUAAUUCCCUCAAAGCUGGACAUUUAUAUAUUAUUUAUGUAGCAUAUUUCAAUAUUGAUGGUAUAGCCUCAUAUACAGUUGAUUGUAAAACCAUUCUUUCUGUUAGAGUAGGUAGGCAGACAUGAGCAGGGCAGGAGAAGCCCACCCACACAUACCAGGAAUGUCAAGAGAGCAUCAGGUGAUGGUCAGGCAGCUGUUAAACUGCCUCUCUAACAUAAUAAUUGAUUCCAGCUGGUACCGGUGAAAGGCAGUCUCCCAACAGAUAGAAAACACCUGAAGCUGGUGAUCAGCAGCUUUAGAAAACACGGGAAGCUGGUGAUCAGCAGCUUCCAGAUAAGAUCUCAGCACUCUAAGAGACAAGAUGGUGGAAUUUAACUAGUAUAUGACCUUUCUUUAGGAACGCUCAACUGGUAUCCAGAUGCAGAAGUCUUACUUCCUGCUUUUCUAUGACAUCAUCCUUCAGAAGGCGGGGCAUAGGCAAGAACAUGAUAAAGCACUUCUCCUUCCUGCCAUCAUGUGAAGAAGGAUGUGUUUGCUUCCCCUUCUGCCAGGAUUGUACGUUUCCUGAAGCCUCCCCAGCCUGCAGAACGGCAUUCACAUUCACUCACCACUUACUGACUCACCCGGAGCAACUUCCAGCCCUGCAAGCUUCAUUUAUGGUGUUCCUUAUCAAGUUGAGGAAAUUAUCUCUAUUUCUAGUAUUCUCAUUGUGAAUGAGUGUUGGAUUUCAUCAAAUAACUUUUCUGCAUCUACUGAUCUAAUCCUAUGACUUUUUUCUUUAGCCUGUUCAUGUGAAUGAUUACAUUAAUUGAUAUUUUAAUAUAGAACCAUCUUUCCAUAGCUGAAAUUAGUCCCAUUGAUGAGAAAUUGUUUUUUUAAAUAUGGCAAUAAAUGCUAUUGUAUUUAUUUCCCUAUUUUAUUGUUAGCUUAUUUUAUGAUUUUAAAAUGAAUUAAAUUUUAGCAGCCAA
rnacentral:lncRNA from 1 species